CGCGGCGCAGCUCCGGGGCCCGCAGUCGGCCGGGUACGCGGGGAGCGGGGUUCGGCCGUGGGGCUCCGGGCAAGUGCCCGCUCGGGUGGCUCACGAUGCGCGGCGGGCAGGACGAGGCGCGGGCCCGGGUGCUCCAGUUCACCAACUGCCGCAUCCUGCGAGGCCGGGCGCUGCUCAGGUGUGGGGUGCGGGGCCGAGCGCUGCUCAGGGAGGAUUUGUGGGUGCGUGAAGGCCGCAUUCUGGACCCGGAGAAGCUGUUUUUUGAGGAGCGACGAGUGGCGGAUGAGCAGCGGGACUGCGGGGGCUGCAUCCUGGCGCCCGGCUUCAUCGACGUGCAGAUCAACGGUGGAUUUGGCGUUGACUUCUCUCAGGCCACGGAGGACGUGGGUUCGGGGGUCGCCCUGGUGGCCCGGAGGAUCUUGUCGCACGGAGUCACCUCCUUCUGCCCCACCUUGGUCACCUCACCACCGGAGGUUUAUCACAAGGUCCUUCCUCAGAUCCCUGUGAAGAGUGGUGGUCCCCAUGGGGCAGGGGUCCUCGGGGUGCACCUGGAGGGCCCAUUCAUCAGCCGGGAGAAGCGAGGUGCACACCCCGAAGCCCACCUGCGCUCCUUUGAGGCCAACGCCUUCCAUGAUGUACUGGCCACCUACGGGCCCCUGGACAACGUCCGCAUCGUGACGCUGGCCCCUGAGCUGGGCCGGAGCCGAGAGGUGAUACGGGCACUGGCGGCCCGUGGCAUCUGUGUGUCCCUAGGACACUCGGUGGCCAACCUGCAGGCCGCGGAGGAAGCUGUGCAGUGUGGGGCCACCUUCAUCACCCACCUCUUCAAUGCCAUGCUGCCUUUCCACCACCGUGACCCAGGGAUUGUGGGGCUCCUGACCAGUGACCGGCUGCCACCAGGCCGCCACAUCUUCUACGGGAUGAUCGCUGACGGCAUGCACACCAACCCUGCUGCCCUGCGCAUUGCCCACCGGGCCCAUCCCCAGGGGCUGGUGUUGGUCACCGACGCCGUUCCUGCCCUGGGCUUGGGCAACGGCCGUCACACACUGGGGCAGCAGGAGGUGGAAGUAGUUGGGCUGACAGCCUACGUGGCAGAGCCUGCCCUCUCUGCUCUGAAGGCACCAAGACGCUGAGUGGCAGCAUAGCCCCGAUGGACGUGUGCGUCCGGCACUUCCUGCAGGCCACAGGCUGCAGUGUGGAGUUGGCCCUGGAGGCUGCGUCCCUGCACCCCGCUCAGCUGCUGGGGCUGGAGAAGCACAAGGGCACCCUGGACUUCGGGGCCGAUGCAGACUUCGUGGUGCUCGAUGACUCUCUCCACGUGCGGGCCACCUACAUCUCGGGCGAGUUGGUGUGGCAGGCGGAAGAGGCCAGGCAGUGACCGAGGACCACAGCCGGAAAGGAUGCCCAGCCUUAGCUGGACGCGGUCAGGGCUGAGCCGUGGAGGAGCUGGUCUCCAGGGAGCGAGUGGGCGCCCUGCCCCAGGUGGAGGCCUCCGCUCAGGAGGCAGCUGGAUAAACACGCGCCCAGCAGGGACUUGUCUGGUC